UACGAAGGGUGCUAGCGUUGUUCGGAAUCACUGGGCGUAAAGCGCGCGUAGGCGGCGAACCAAGUCAGAGGUGAAAGCCCAGGGCUCAACCCUGGAAUUGCCUUUGAUACAGCACGUCUUGAGUCCGAUAGAGGUGGGUGGAAUUCCUAGUGUAGAGGUGAAAUUCGUAGAUAUUAGGAAGAACACCGGUGGCGAAGGCGGCCCACUGGAUCGGUACUGACGCUGAGGUGCGAAAGCGUGGGGAGCAAACAGG
rnacentral:rRNA from 1 species